CUACGUAGGUGACAAGCGUUAUCCGGAUUUACUGGGUGUAAAGGGCGUGUAGGCGGUUUAGCAAGUCAGAAGUGAAAUUCCCGGGCUUAACUCGGGCGCUGCUUCUGAAACUGCAGGACUUGAGUGCUGGAGGGGAUAGCGGAAUUCCUAGUGGAGCGGUAAAAUGCGCAGAUAUUAGGAAGAACACCGGUGGCGAAGGCGGCUAUCUGGACAGUAACUGACGCUGAGGCGCGAAAGCGUGGGGAGCAAACAGGAUUAGAUACCCUGGUAGUCCACGCCGUAAAUGAUGAAUACUAGGUGUAGGGGGUAUCGACUCCCUCUGUGCCGCAGUUAACACAAUAAGUAUUCCGCCUGGGGAGUACGGCCGCAAGGUUGAAACUCAAAUGAAUUGGCGGGG
rnacentral:rRNA from 1 species